rnacentral:rRNA from 1 species
GAAAGCGUAAUAGCUCACUAGUCGAGUCGGCCUGCGCGGAAGAUGUAACGGGGCUCAAACCAUACACCGAAGCUACGGGUUCAUCUUAGGAUGAGCGGUAGAGGAGCGUUCUGUAAGCCUGUGAAGGUGAGUUGAGAAGCUUGCUGGAGGUAUCAGAAGUGCGAAUGCUGACAUGAGUAACGACAAUGCGAGUGAAAAACUCGCACGCCGAAAGACCAAGGUUUCCUGCGCAACGUUAAUCGACGCAGGGUGAGUCGGCCCCUAAGGCGAGGCAGAAAUGCGUAGUCGAUGGGAAACGGGUUAAUAUUCCCGUACUUCUAAUUACUGCGAUGGAGGGACGGAGAAGGCUAGGCCAGCACGGCGUUGGUUGUCCGUGUUUAAGGUGGUAGGCUGAUUUCUUAGGUAAAUCCGGGAGAUCAAGGCCGAGAGCUGAUGACGAGCGUUCUUUUAGAAUGCGAAGUGGUUGAUGCCAUGCUUCCAGGAAAAGCUUCUAAGCUUCAGGUAACUAGGAACCGUACCCCAAACCGACACAGGUGGUUAGGUAGAGAAUACCAAGGCGCUUGAGAGAACUCGGGUGAAGGAACUAGGCAAAAUGGCACCGUAACUUCGGGAGAAGGUGCGCCGGUGAGUGUGAAGGGUUUACCCCGUAAGCACAUGCCGGUCGAAGAUACCAGGCCGCUGCGACUGUUUAUUAAAAACACAGCACUCUGCAAACACGAAAGUGGACGUAUAGGGUGUGACGCCUGCCCGGUGCCGGAAGGUUAAUUGAUGGGGUUAGCUAACGCGAAGCUCUUGAUCGAAGCCCCGGUAAACGGCGGCCGUAACUAUAACGGUCCUAAGGUAGCGAAAUUCCUUGUCGGGUAAGUUCCGACCUGCACGAAUGGCGUAACGAUGGCGGCGCUGUCUCCACCCGAGACUCAGUGAAAUUGAAAUCGCUGUGAAGAUGCAGUGUAUCCGCGGCUAGACGGAAAGACCCCGUGAACCUUUACUAUAGCUUUGCACUGGACUUUGAGCUUGCUUGUGUAGGAUAGGUGGGAGGCUUUGAAGUGGGGACGCCAGUUCUCAUGGAGCCAUCCUUGAAAUACCACCCUGGCAACCUUGAGGUUCUAACUCUGGUCCGUUAUCCGGAUCGAGGACAGUGUAUGGUGGGUAGUUUGACUGGGGCGGUCUCCUCC